rnacentral:rRNA from 3 species
GAGAUUCCCCCAGUAGCGGCGAGCGAACGGGGAGCAGCCCAGAGUCUGAAUCAGCUUGUGUGUUAGUGGAACGGUCUGGAAAGUCCGACGGUACAGGGUGAUAGUCCCGUACACCAAAAUGCACAGGUUGUGAACUCGAAGAGUAGGGCGGGACACGUGGUAUCCUGUCUGAAUAUGGGGGGACCAUCCUCCAAGGCUAAAUACUCCUGACUGACCGAUAGUGAACCAGUACCGUGAGGGAAAGGCGAAAAGAAC